GCGCAGCAGUCGAGAAAACUUUACAAUGUGCGAAAGCACGAUAAGGGAACUCUGAGUGCCUCCUAAGGAGGCUGUUCAGGUGUCUAAAAAGCACCUGGAGUAAGGGCUGGGUAAGACCGGUGCCAGCCGCCGCGGUAACACCGGCAGCCCAGGUGGUAGCCACUUUUAUUGGGUCUAAAGCGUCCGUAGCCGGUUGAGUAAGUUCCUUGGGAAAUUUGGCUGCUCAACAGUCAAGCUUCCAGGGAAUACUGCUCGACUUGGGACUGGGAGAGGUCAGAGGUACUCCAGGGGUAGGGGUGAAAUCCAUUAAUCCCUGGGGGACCACCGGUAGCGAAGGCGUCUGACCAGACCAGGUCCGACGGUGAGGGACGAAGGCUAGGGUCGCGAACCGGAUUAGAUACCCCUGUAGU
rnacentral:rRNA from 1 species